rnacentral:rRNA from 1 species
CGGAAUUACGUGGCGUAAAGGGUGGGUAGGUGGUUGCUUAAGGCAGAGGUGAAAGGCUAAGGCUCAACCGUAGUAAGGCUAUGAAACUGGGAAACUUGAGUGCAGGAGAGGAGAGUGGAAUUCCUAGUGUAGCGGUGAAAUGCGUAGAUAUUAGGAGGAACACCAGUUGCGAAGGCGGCUCUCUGGACUGUAACUGACACUGAGGCACGAAAGCGUGGGGAGCA